CCUACGGGAGACAGCAGUGAGGAAUAUUGGUCAAUGGGCUCGAGCCUGAACCAGCCAAGUCGCGUGAGGGAAGACGGUCCUAUGGAUUGUAAACCUCUUUUGUCAGGGAGCAAAAGACGCCACGCGUGGCGUUACGAGAGUACCCGAAGGAAAAGCAUCGGCUAACUCCGUGCCAGCCGCCGCGGUAAUACGGGGGAUGCGAACGGUAUCCGGAUUUAUUGGGUUUAAAGGGUGCGCAGGCGGAAGAUCAAGUCAGCGGUAAAAUUGUGGGGCUCAAAUUCUUCGAGCCGUUGAAACUGGUUUUCUUGAGUGAGUGAGAAGUAUGCGGAAUGCGUGGUGUAGCGGUGAAAUGCAUAGAUAUCACGCAGAACUCCGAUUGCGAAGGCAGCAUACCGGCGCUCAACUGACGCUCAUGCACGAAAGUGUGGGUAUCGAACAGGAUUAGAUACCCGGGUAGUC
rnacentral:rRNA from 1 species